AACAAGAAAAAUGAAAAAGCGAUACCUCAGCUGUUUCCGCCCGGUUUCGAACCGGGGACCUUUCGCGUGUGAGGCGAACGUGAUAACCACUACACUACGGAAACCCGCUGGAGGACAGCCCUUCGCGAACAACCCUUGAAGCAUAGCGGUUCCUCACCGUGUUCCCUGAUCUGGAAGAAAGUCCCCGCUGGGCUUGCCACAGCUCUAGUCUCACCAUCGCCCCGGGAAGCAGCCAGCAAGCCCAGGCUACACCACGUGCUCCUGGCCUCCUGCAGCAGUAUGAGAGUGGAAAACCAGCCUAGGAGUGGCAGACCAGUGCACACCUCCUCGGACCUGCGGGCCCAGCCUUGGAUCUGACUUGGAGAAUCCUCACGACUAUUAGAUCCGAGGUCACUGUCUCCCACACUAGGAUCUUCUCCACUCCUCAGCCAGGAACCUUCCCAGGAGUUCCAGCCCUGGUGAGUCACAGCACCCUUGGAAGAAUAUGCUCAUAACCUUUCCCUACCCAUGACACCUGUUAAAUCUGCAGUCUUUUUGUUGUGCCUGAGUGAGUGCAAACACAGGAGCACCACACACUGGUAAAA